UACUCACAAGGUUUUGGUCAGCCCGGAACUAUAGUAGAAGAUAUUUUCCCACGUUAGGGGACUGAACCCGGGAUCAUAUGGAUGAGAAGCAAGCUUCUUACCACACAGCCACGCCUGCGCCUAGCAGUAUUUUCUUUUCGGAGACAUGCCGAAUGCCUAAACCACUACAAUGAGACUACUUGACCCUCAACUAAACGCUGGUCAAGAUAAUGACAAGACAACUGUGCUCGUAUGAGAAUGCAGAAGGAAGUUACAAAAUACCUGAAGUAUCUACAGACCGCAUGGUAACAUCUAACUUGGUAUAUAUAGAUUAUAAAACAUCGCGGCAGAUAUUUUUCCUAUAUCAUCGCUUCGAGCAGCGUAUUUUCACAUGGAACAAUUACUCCCUAUUGACCUGCUAUAUCCAGCUUCGAAGCUUCGGAGAGGAAGGCUGUUAUCUCUUCCACGCAUAUUUCAAUGAAAUGCCAAUAUCUGUAUCAUAUAUAUACUGGGCGUAUCAGAAAAAUUGUCCACGUUUUAAAUUCUAUUUCGAACCUUUUUUAUCUCAGGAAUGCUUAAAGAUAACUUAAUGGAAUUAUCAGAGGUUUUUCCAACACUAUUGGACUCUACUUUGAAGAAGAAAAGAUGUUGAUUACGCUCCAAGCUCACCAAAAGAAACGUGGUUAGGUUAAUCAUGGACGAAAAUGACAUUUUCGUAAAUAACUAACCAUAGCGCACAAAGAGAGCUCAUAAAGGAUUGGAAUAAAGUUUCAUUUCAAAGUACCAGGGUCAAUCCUGGCCGAAAUUCUACCUGUCAGGAAUCAAAAUUUGCUCCUCUUUAGGCAAUAUCUUCCUCAACCCUCUGCCUGAUUGCACCACAAGCUUUUUUAAUCUAUUCCUCAUCAAUGUCUUCUUCCUACGUCCUACAGAUGGAGUCUUUGCGGGCUUUCAGGUUAUAGUGGGGCUUCUCACAGGUUUUUCUGACCAGUUCGUUUCAGAUGUUGAAGUCUAAAGGGUUCAAAUCAAGUGAUGAAGGAAGCCAGGUGUCCUUAUCCCCAAACCUGUUCCCAAACUCAUCCCUGAGAAACGUUUGAGCUUCUACACUUGUGUGACAAGGACCUCCAUCUUGCUGGAACGUGAGCUUGAAGUUCUUAACAAUCUUGUUGAGGUUCCCUCAUCUUUUGCCUCAGGAUAUUCAGAAAGAUUCCAGGUCUUUGCAUCUUUCACAACCUAAACACCACAAAUCCAUUCAGUCUCCCAGCUUUUUCAAAGACGAUCAAUGGCAUAUUCUUGCCAUCAGAGUCUACAUGGAUGAAAAUCAUCACAUAGCAGGGCUUUUGCACCUGAAAAUGAUAUUUUUGGCUCUCUCGUGAGGAGCUGAAGCCAGAACGCGACUGGUGCAUCUAUUUGUAUGCGUAUGCUGAGUGAAAUUCUUCUUAUCUGUGUAAAAGAUCAUUCUAGGAUUAUGUUUCACUUUGUUCAAGAUGAUCUUACCAUCCCUGCAGCCAAAACUACCGGUUCCAGUUGUGACAAGAAGCCAGCAGCAUCGAGGUCCCCUCUAAGUAUGUCAUUCAGGACAGCGUCACGAGUGAACUGGCCCUCUUGUUGUGUCUGAUCACAGCAGGCUGACAGAGAGCGAGAGAGUGAGCGACAGUAAAUGAGAAAGACAUACAAGGAGGAUAAAAGAGAGUGAGAAAGACAGACAGACAGAUAGACAGAUAGACAGACAGACAGACAGACAUAGACAGAGAUAGUGCGAAGGAGACCAAUCGACACUAACUACAUACUCUGGCAUGCAUUCGUACACUCAAGUUCAUCAUAUACACACUUGUAGCCAAAGACUUGUGAAGUUAUGACACCACAUGAUAUCUGAAUUUUGUCGUACAAAUAAUGAAGCUAUUUUACUUUACUCCAGAAAUAUAUCAUGCCGGUGGAAUUUGAACUCGGAACACAAAGACGAACGAAAUGACGAGAGACUUAAAGAAUUUCAAGCACUUAUAAAUGGACUUGACGUAAAUAUUCAAUUUACGAUGGAACAAUUUCCAUUCCUCGACAUCCUCAUUAAGAAAUCUAACAACGAAAUAGAAACAGAUAUAUUUUAUAAGCCCACGGACUCCAAGCAGUAUCUACCAUUCAACUCAUGCCACCCCAGACACAUUCGAAUGAAUAUCCCUUCAACCUAGCAAUAAGGAUUUGUACUAUAGUUUCUACAAGCACCAGGGACACACGAGUACAUGAACUAAAGGAUACUCUCAUUACCAGGAACUACCUACCAUCAAUAAUUGACAUAGGCUUUCAACGUGCCCUACAACUCAACAUCCACGAAUUCAGACAUCCCCAAUUAAAGAAGGAUUUACAACCAAAAGCCCUACCAUACAUCUCCACACACAACCCUCUUAACAAAGAAGGCUUCGACACUAUCCUCCUGAACAUUCCCCUACUAAAAAGGGAUCACAGAAUUAAUUUAAUCCUCCAAACGCACACCAUCAUAAAGAGCAAAAGACAACCCAAAUCUAUGAAAAGUCUCCUAACACAAGCCCAAGUACGCUCGACAGUACUGAAGCCAUCAAUAAAAAAUGCGAAAGACCUAACUGUGGUAUAUGCGUCAACCUAAUUGAGGGAUCAAAGUUCUCUUUCAAACAGGGUCAACGUUUUACAGGGAAAAACAACUUCAUAUGUGCUUCUGAGAACCUAAUAUAUAUAUAUUAACUUGCUCUGGGUGUCGAGAGCAAUACAUAGGCCAAACCAAAAACAAUCUACGUCAAAGGAUGACUCUACAUAGAGCCCAGAUCAAAUUCGGGAAUAUAGAAAAAUAGCAUUCAGUGAACACAUCCACAUUUGCGCCACUAACAAACAACCCAGCUUCAGAAUUUUUCCCCUCUAUAAAUUCAGGGAUGAUGCAACCUGUAGUCAGCGCAUAUUUUAUCACAAAAUAUAAACUCCUUUUGAAUGCAUCCACCACAAAGGACACUAUUACAAGGGCCUUGGAAUAAUACUCACGCAAAUAUUAAAAACGAUAUAUUCAAAACAGUUACCACCUAUAAAUUUAUUCAGAACAAUUUCAAUCACUACUAUUACAACCACAACAGGUCACUUUUAGGUCACUUGACCAUUUAAGAGGUUUCCACCAACAUCCUACUACUGCCAUACCACUCCCGCAUUUUUAUUAUUUUUUCUCUUCUU